GACGAACGCUGGCGGCGUGCUUAACACAUGCAAGUCGAACGGAAAGGCCCUGCUUUUGUGGGGUGCUCGAGUGGCGAACGGGUGAGUAACACGUGAGUAACCUGCCCUUGACUUUGGGAUAACUUCAGGAAACUGGGGCUAAUACCGGAUAGGAGCUCCUGCUGCAUGGUGGGGGUUGGAAAGUUUCGGCGGUUGGGGAUGGACUCGCGGCUUAUCAGCUUGUUGGUGGGGUAGUGGCUUACCAAGGCUUUGACGGGUAGCCGGCCUGAGAGGGUGACCGGCCACAUUGGGAAUUAGAUCAGGCCGAGACUCCUCCGGGAGGCAGCAGUGAGGAAUAUUGCACAAUGGGCGGAAGCCUGAUGCAGCAACGCCGCGUGCGGGAUGACGGCCUGCGGUUUGUAAACCGCUUUCGCCUGUGACGAAGCGUGAGGGACGGUAAUGGGUAAAGAAGCACCGGAUAACUACGUG
rnacentral:rRNA from 1 species